rnacentral:rRNA from 1 species
AGCGAACGCUGGCGGCAGGCCUAACACAUGCAAGUCGAACGAACUCUUCGGAGUUAGUGGCGGACGGGUGAGUAACACGUGGGAACGUGCCUUUAGGUUCGGAAUAACUCAGGGAAACCUGUGCUAAUACCGAAUGUGCCCUUCGGGGGAAAGAUUUAUCGCCUUUAGAGCGGCCCGCGUCUGAUUAGCUAGUUGGUGAGGUAAAGGCUCACCAAGGCGACGAUCAGUAGCUGGUCUGAGAGGAUGAUCAGCCACAUUGGGACUGAGACACGGCCCAAACUCCUACGGGAGGCAGCAGUGGGGAAUCUUGCGCAAUGGGCGAAAGCCUGACGCAGCCAUGCCGCGUGAAUGAUGAAGGUCUUAGGAUUGUAAAAUUCUUUCACCGGGGACGAUAAUGACGGUACCCGGAGAAGAAGCCCCGGCUAACUUCGUG